rnacentral:rRNA from 1 species
UACAGAGGGGGCGAGCGUUAUUCGGAAUUAUUGGGCGUAAGGGGCGCGUAGGCGGCUUUUCAAGUGACGGGUGAAAUCCCUCGGCUUAACCGAGGAACUGCCUGUCAGACUGGAAGGCUUGAGACCGGGAGAGGUGAGUGGAAUUCCCAGUGUAGCGGUGAAAUGCGUAGAUAUUGGGAGGAACACCAGUGGCGAAGGCGGCUCACUGGACCGGAACUGACGCUGAGGCGCGAAAGCGUGGGGAGCAAACAGG